rnacentral:rRNA from 1 species
UACGUAGGGGGCAAGCGUUGUCCGGAAUCAUUGGGCGUAAAGCGCGUGUAGGCGGCCAGAAAAGUCCGCUGUGAAAACUCGAGGCUCAACUUCGAGCUGUCGGUGGAAACUUUCUGGCUAGAGUCCGGAAGAGGAGGAAUGGAAUUCCUGGUGUAGCGGUGAAAUGCGCAGAUAUCAGGAAGAACACCCGUGGCGAAGGCGGUUCUCUGGGACGGUACUGACGCUGGAGACGCGAAAGCGUGGGGAGCGAACAGG